GAAAAGGAAGGAAGUUCAGUCACUCAUGGACCAAACAACCUCCAUGGAAAGAACAGCAGCAAGCAGCCACAACCGCAAGAUCCACUCAAGUUUCCAAACACACCAAUGGUUUAUAACCUACUGACGAUGUUGAGGAUCAACUGAAAAGAAACCAACAAUUCUUCAAGUUGGAAAAAAUAAAAGUUGAUCAAUUGGAAAUCGUGAGUUGUCCGUGGGUCCUUGUUGGAGGAAAAGAGUGGAACUUAACAGGGCGCAUUAAAGGAGUCUGUGGAGGGGAGCGUGGCCUGCGGACCUGCAGCAAAGCGGGGUGUGCCAGGACCGGCUUUGAGAUCAGCGACAGACAGCAGCCGGGGAGGAGAGAGGUGGUGGAGCUGGAGCGAGAGAAAGAGAAAGACAGAGACGAACGAACACUUGCGAACACUUGCUGAAAAGCAACGCAGACUGCAUCGAAGGAAAAAAAAAAAACAGUGUUGUAAACCUGAACCUGAACUUUCAUGUCAGUGCUUGGUGGUCCGAGGAACCCGGAGGAGAGAAACCUCCACA